GACGAACGCUGGCGGCGUGCCUAAUACAUGCAAGUCGAGCGCAGGAAACUGACGGAACUCUUCGGAGGGAAGGCAGCGGAAUGAGCGGCGGACGGGUGAGUAACACGUAAGGAACCUGCCUCAAGGAUUGGGUUAACUCCGAGAAAUCGGAGCUAAUACCGGAUAGUUCAACGGACCGCAUUGUCCGCUGAUGAAAGGCGCUUCGGCGUCACCUUGAGAUGGCCUUGCGGUGCAUUAGCUAGUUGGUGGGGUAACGGCCCACCAAGGCGACGAUGCAUAGCCGACCUGAGAGGGUGAUCGGCCACACUGGGACUGAGACACGGCCCAGACUCCUACGGGAGGCAGCAGUAGGGAAUCUUCCACAAUGGACGAAAGUCUGAUGGAGCAACGCCGCGUGAGUGAUGAAGGUUUUCGGAUCGUAAAACUCUGUUGUAAGGGAAGAACACGUACGAGAGGAAAUGCUCGUACCUUGACGGUACCUUACGAGAAAGCCACGGCUAACUACGUGCCAGCAGCCGCCGUAACAC
rnacentral:rRNA from 1 species